UACGUAGGCAGCAAGCGUUGUUCGGAAUUAUUGGGCGUAAAGGGCGCGUAGGCGGCCACGCACGUCCGUUGUGAAAUCGCCCGGCUCAACUGGGCGGGGUCAGCGGAUACGGUGUGGCUCGAGCAAGCUAGGGGGCAAUGGAAUUCCCGGUGUAGUGGUGGAAUGCGUAGAUAUCGGGAGGAACACCAGUGGCGAAGGCGGUUGCCUGGAGCUUUGCUGACGCUGAGGCGCGAAAGCGUGGGGAGCGAUCCGG
rnacentral:rRNA from 1 species